rnacentral:rRNA from 1 species
GUAGGUGGCAAGCGUUGUCCGGAAUUAUUGGGCGUAAAGCGCGCGCAGGCGGUCCUUUAAGUCUGAUGUGAAAGCCCACGGCUCAACCGUGGAGGGUCAUUGGAAACUGGGGGACUUGAGUACAGAAGAGGAAAGCGGAAUUCCAAGUGUAGCGGUGAAAUGCGUAGAGAUUUGGAGGAACACCAGUGGCGAAGGCGGCUUUCUGGUCUGUAACUGACGCUGAGGCGCGAAAGCGUGGGGUAGCAAACAGGAUUAGAUACCCUGGUAGUCCACGCCGUAAACGAUGAGUGCUAAGUGUUAGGGGGUUUCCCGCCCCCUUAGUGCUGCAGCUAACGCAUUAAGCACUCCGCCUGGGGAGUACGGCCGCAAGGCUG